rnacentral:rRNA from 1 species
GCUAAACGCGAAGAACCUUACCUAGGCUUGACAUAUACCGAAAACUCACAGAGAUGUGGGGUCCGCAAGGGCGGUAUACAGGUGGUGCAUGGUUGUCGUCAGCUCGUGUCGUGAGAUGUUGGGUUAAGUCCCGCAACGAGCGCAACCCUCGUCCUAUGUUGCCAGCGAGUAAUGUCGGGGACUCAUAGGAGACUGCCGGGGUCAACUCGGAGGAAGGUGGGGAUGACGUCAAAUCAUCAUGCCCCUUAUGUCUUGGGCUUCACGCAUGCUACAAUGGCCGGUACAAAGGGCUGCAAUACCGUAAGGUGGAGCGAAUCCCAAAAAGCCGGUCCCAGUUCGGAUUGAGGUCUGCAACUCGACCUCAUGAAGUCGGAGUCGCUAGUAAUCGCAGAUCAGCAACGCUGCGGUGAAUACGUUCCCGGGUCUUGUACACACCG